rnacentral:tRNA from 1 species
GUCCCCGUAGCUCAACCGGAUAGCGCGCAGCUUUCCGAAAGCUGAGGUUGCAGGUUCGAUUCCCGCCGGGGGUACCA